UACCGAGUGCGGGCCCUCUGGGUCCAACCUCCCAUCCGUGUCUAUCUGUACCCUGUUGCUUCGGCGUGGCCACGGCCCGCCGAAGACUAACAUUUGAACACUGUCUGAAGUUUGCAGUCUGAGUUUUUAGUUAAACAAUAAUUAAAACUUUCAACAACGGAUCUCUUGGUUCCGGCAUCGAUGAAGAACGCAGCGAAAUGCGAUAAUUAAUGUGAAUUGCAGAAUUCAGUGAAUCAUCGAGUCUUUGAACGCACAUUGCGCCCCCUGGUAUUCCGGGGGGCAUGCCUGUCCGAGCGUCAUUGCUGCCCUCAAGCACGGCUUGUGUGUUGGGCUUCCGUCCCUGGUAACGGGGACGGGCCCAAAAGGCAGUGGCGGCACCAUGUCUGGUCCUCGAGCGUAUGGGGCUUUGUCACCCGCUCCCGUAGGUCCAGCUGGCAGCUAGCCUCGCAACCAAUCUUUUUAACCAGGUUGACCUCGGAUCAGGUAGGGAUACCCGCUGAACUUAAGCAUAUCAAUA
rnacentral:misc_RNA from 1 species